CUCUGUAAAGGGGCUGAACACUUACUGUGACAAGGGAAACUUGAGGCUAACGUAGCAGGCCUAUGUUUCACUCUUCAGAUCCGGGGAAUGAAACCUACAAAAGGGGACUUCACUCGGCCUUUGAAAAGUCACAACAAGAAUCUGGCUGCAAAGAACCACAAAACUCUACUGACCUCUAAACAUUUAUGAGCAGGAGUGAAGGAUGUAAACAGGCCAUGGACGUCUCCUCUUAAAACCACAGCAAUGGCACUUUGUCAGGAUAAACAGAUUAAUUGAAUUCCAGAGGGGAAAAUUUCUUUUGAUGUGUGCAAAUUGAUUUCAACAAAGUGAGCUCCUCUGACAUGCUGAUGUUCCUCCAGGGUCCUUCCGUGACACCAUAGGGCUCAGGGACUUUGGUUUCCUUGCCACUGCUGUGAAACUCCAUUCAGAUGAUGAAACUGCAGUGCAGCUGUGUCUGCAGCUCACGCGCCAGCCACUUGUCUUCCACAGCAGAGCUCAGCUGGUCCAAUUCCCCUGAACAGAUCCAAGACUUCCACUGUGUUCAGCUGCCAGGACGAUGGAGGUCUUCCAAUUUGACGCCUCUCCUUACUAGAACUCGCCUCUGGGCAGGUGUAUAAAAAAGCAAAAAGUCAGCAGUGUAAACGUGGAGAAGGAAGCACAUUUAAACAGAUUAGCAGCCAUGCCUGUGUUCAAAGCUCUGACACUUAAUGCUGCAAGAAUGAGAGGUGACGUGUGAUAUGAAUCGUAAAAAGAUAUGCUUUUGGAUGUUCAAACGGUUAUGGAAAUAUCUGCAAGCAUUAAGGAUUAUGGGUGUGCAAAGGGAGGCAACAAGCAUGUCAGUAUAGCUAUUUCUGUCCUCAAUGACUGGCUGCCAAAUACAUUUUUUUCAGCAUUUGAUAAACUCCUACAUCAAUAUAAAGUCUAGUGUGUUUCUAUGGAAACUUAGACCUCCGAGAAGGUUGGAAUUUGCCUCUUAGCUCAA